UGCGUAGGGUGCGAGCGUUAAUCGGAAUUACUGGGCGUAAAGCGUGCGCAGGCGGUUUGGUAAGACAGAUGUGAAAUCCCCGGGCUUAACCUGGGAACUGCAUUUGUGACUGCCCGGCUAGAGUGUGUCAGAGGGGGGUAGAAUUCCACGUGUAGCAGUGAAAUGCGUAGAUAUCUGGAGGAACACCGAUGGCGAAGGCAGCCCCCUGGGCUAACACUGACGCUCAUGCACGAAAGCGUGGGGGGCAAACAGG
rnacentral:rRNA from 1 species